GUGGAAUCUUUGAACGCACCUUGCGCUCCUUGGUAUUCCGAGGAGCAUGCCUGUUUGAGUGUCGUGAAAUUAUCAACUCCCUUUCUUUAUUGAAGGGUGAGCUUGGACUUGGGGAUUGCUGGUUUUCAAUCGGCUUCCCUUGAAUGCAUUAGCUGGAAUUUAAUUCGCAGCAUAUAUUGCGGUGUGAUAAUGUCGUCACUGUGUAGCUCGGAUUGUCUAGCUUCUAAUCGUCCUUCACGGGACAAUUUGAUCAAUUUGGUCCUCAAAUCAGGUAGGACUACCCGCUGAACUUAAGCAUAUCAAUAAGGCGAGG
rnacentral:rRNA from 1 species